rnacentral:rRNA from 1 species
UACAGAGGGGGCAAGCGUUAUUCGGAAUUAUUGGGCGUAAGGAGGCGCGUGAGCGGCUUCGCAAGUGGAAGGUGAAAUCCCUCGGCUUAACCGGGGAACUGCGUCUGAUACUGGAUGGCUCGAGUUUGGGAGAGGGAUGCGGAAUUCCGAGGUGUAGCGGUGAAAUGCGUAGAUAUCUGGAGGAACACCGGUGGCGAAGGCGGCAUCCUGGACCAACACUGACGCUGAUGAGCGAAAGCCAGGGGAGCAAACGGG